rnacentral:rRNA from 1 species
UCACUCCUACGGGAGGCAGCAGUGGGGAAUAUUGCACAAUGGGGGAAACCCUGAUGCAGCCAUGCCGCGUGUGUGAAGAAGGCCUUCGGGUUGUAAAGCACUUUCAGUAGGGAGGAAGGUAGUGUAGUUAACACCUGCAUUAUUUGACGUUACCUACAGAAGAAGCACCGGCUAACUCCGUGCCAGCAGCCGCGGUAAUACGGAGGGUGCGAGCGUUAAUCGGAAUUACUGGGCGUAAAGCGCAUGCAGGCGGCCUGUUAAGUCAGAUGUGAAAGCCCGGGGCUUAACCUCGGAAUUGCAUUUGAAACUGGCAGGCUAGAGUCUUGUAGAGGGGGUAGAAUUUCAGGUGUAGCGGUGAAAUGCGUAGAGAUCUGAAGGAAUACCAGUGGCGAAGGCGGCCCCCUGGACAAAGACUGACGCUCAGAUGCGAAAGCGUGGGGAGCAAACAGGAUUAGAUACCCUGGUAG